CGUAGGUGGCAAGCGUUGUCCGGAAUUAUUGGGCGUAAAGCGCGCGCAGGCGGUCCUUUAAGUCUGAUGUGAAAGCCCACGGCUCAACCGUGGAGGGUCAUUGGAAACUGGGGGGACUUGAGUACAGAAGAGAAGAGUGGAAUUCCACGUGUAGCGGUGAAAUGCGUAGAGAUGUGGAGGAACACCAGUGGCGAAGGCGACUCUUUGGUCUGUAACUGACGCUGAGGCGGGAAAGCGUGGGGAGCAAACAGGAUUAGAUACCCUGGUAGUCCACGCUGUAAACGAUGAGUGCUAAGUGUUAGAGGGUUUCCGCCCUUUAGUGCUGCAGCUAACGCAUAAGCACUCCGCCUGGGGAUACGGCCGCAAGGCUG
rnacentral:rRNA from 1 species